rnacentral:rRNA from 1 species
CCUACGGGGAGCAGCAGUGAGGAAUAUUGGUCAAUGGGCGCGAGCCUGAACCAGCCAAGUAGCGUGAAGGAUGACUGCCCUACGGGUUGUAAACUUCUUUUAUAAAGGAAUAAAGUGAGGCACGUGCUCCGUUUUGUAUGUACUUUAUGAAUAAGGAUCGGCUAACUCCGUGCCAGCAGCCGCGGUAAUACGGAGGAUCCGAGCGUUAUCCGGAUUUAUUGGGUUUAAAGGGAGCGUAGAUGGGUGGUUAAGUCAGUUGUGAAAGUUUGCGGCUCAACAGUAAGAUUGCAAUUGAUACUGGCAGUCUUGAGUACAGUGGAGGUAGGCGGAAUUCGUGGUGUAGCGGUGAAAUGCUUAGAUAUCACGAAGAACUCCGAUUGCGAAGGCAGCUUACUAAACUGCCACUGACAUUGAUGCUCGAAAGUGUGGGUAUCAAACAGGAUUAGAUACCCGAGUAGUC